UACGGGGGGAGCAAGCGUUGUUCGGAAUUACUGGGCGUAAAGGGCUCGUAGGUGGCCAACUAAGUCAGACGUGAAAUCCCCAGGCUCAACUUGGGAACUGCGUCUGAUACUGGAUGGCUUGAAUUCGGGAGAGGGAUGCAGAAUUCCAGGUGUAGCGGUGAAAUGCGUAGAUAUCGGGAGGAACACCUGUGGCGAAGGCGGCCCCCUGGUUGGAUACUGACGCUGAGACGCGAAAGCGUGGGGAGCAAACAGG
rnacentral:rRNA from 1 species